rnacentral:rRNA from 1 species
AACGAACGCUGGCGGCAGGCCUAACACAUGCAAGUCGAGCGCGCCCUUCGGGGUGAGCGGCGGACGGGUGAGUAACGCGUGGGAACGUGCCCUUUUCUACGGAAUAGCCUCGGGAAACUGAGAGUAAUACCGUAUACGCCCUUUGGGGGAAAGAUUUAUCGGAAAAGGAUCGGCCCGCGUUGGAUUAGGUAGUUGGUGGGGUAAUGGCCUACCAAGCCGACGAUCCAUAGCUGGUUUGAGAGGAUGGUCAGCCACACUGGGACUGAGACACGGCCCAGACUCCGACGGGAGGCAGCAGUGGGGAAUCUUAGACAAUGGGGGCAACCCUGAUCUAGCCAUGCCGCGUGAGUGAUGAAGGCCUUAGGGUUGUAAAGCUCUUUCAGCUGGGAAGAUAAUGACGGUACCAGCAGAAGAAGCCCCGGCUAACUCCGU